rnacentral:rRNA from 1 species
UGGGGAAUAUUGGACAAUGGGCGAAAGCCUGAUCCAGCCAUGCCGCGUGAGUGAUGACGGCCUUAGGGUUGUAAAGCUCUUUCGCCGGUGAAGAUAAUGACGUUAACCGGGAAAGAAGCCCCGGCUAACAUCGUGGCAGCAGCCGCGGUAAUACGAAGGGGGCUAGCGUUGUUCGGAAUUACUGGGCGUAAAGCGCACGUAGGCGGACCAUUAAGUCAGGGGUGAAAUGCCGGGGCUCAACCUCGGAAUUGCCUUUGAUACUGGUGGUCUUGAGUCCGAGAGAGGUGAGUGGAACUCCGAGUGUAGCGGUGAAAUUCGUAGAUAUUCGGAAGAACACCAGUGGCGAAGGCGGCUCACUGGCUCGGUACUGACGCUGAGGUGCGAAAGCGUGGGGAGCAAACAGGAUUAGAUACCCCUGUAGUCC